ACCAUCCUUUUCUUGGGGUUGCGCUACGGUCCAAUGAACGAGAAGUGAGGACAGUACUGCUAAUGGCUAAACAACACACUCGCAUCAGUUAGAGCUCUGCUUUAUCUUGGUGCAAUUUUUGGAAAA
rnacentral:ncRNA from 1 species